CUGGGGUUCGGAUCAGAUAUCUUGGAGUUGUAAAGAGAAAUGUGGGCCGUGAGGGAGUCGAGGAGUUGCUGUUUCGAAUUCAUUGGAAAUUUGAAGGUAUGGAACUGGAACAGGUCGUGUAAUGGAGGACGAGAAGAAUAUAUAGACACGAAAGGAACGGAAGGAGAGAAAGCGUAACGCAGAAGUGGACGAAUAAUUGUUCUAAUUAUUAGGUAUAAGUAGCGUCCGUUUGAGUCCGUGAGUUAAUAAUGCAUUUUAGAAUACUAUAUUGAGUUAAAAAAAUUUGGAAAAAUAUAAAUUUCCGUAUUAUUGGUUGAGAAGCAUAAAGAAAGAUGCAUUGCGGAGAUAAUUAAGAAUGUCAGCAAGAUGAGUCGAGUUGGCUCACAAGUUCAAAUUCGAGGCUCGAGUUUGGCUCGAAUAAAAUGAUGCGAGCGUUUUUUUAGAUUCGAGUCGAGCCGAGCUUUUGCUCUACCAAAAAUUUAGGCUCAACUCAAGCUUUCAGUUUGAGCCUUUUCGAGCCUAGCUGAUUUUUUUCUUCAAGGUAGCACAAAAUGACUAAAAAGGCAACAUUUUGCUGUUUUUCCUAUUUUUUUUUUAAAGGCACGUGAUUCUGAGCUGACGAACCACUCGGACCAACUUGAGCUCGACCUGUCCCUCCCAAAAUGGGGCUCGACUUUUUUCGGACCAAGCCGACGAGCUGAAUUGCCAUCUCUAGAAAUAAUAGAGAUCAAAGUGUCUGAUGUUUCCUCGUUUCUAAUAUUAAUUUAUUAUUCAAAUAUACUUAAAUAAGUAAAAUAAUGCAUAACUUGAAAACCUUAUAGGAACCGUUUACAAUUUUUUUGAAAAUUUCAACAAGAAUUCUCAAAUCAUAAAGUGUGAGUUUUUUUUUUAAGACUUAUUCCAUUUUUCAAUUUUAGCGAUUGAGCAUUUUGUUGAGCUAGACUCUAAAAUAAGAAUUGUACUGAUUAAACAAAAAUGUGCGAGCGCUCUCGUGUCCAGGCCUACUUUUUUUAGAAUAUUGGUAUUUAAUCAAAUAUAAAGGUGAAAUUCCAAACCUAACUCCAAAUCUGCAAUUCAGCCCACGCACACUCCCACGUAUUCAAUAAUUGGAAAAUGUGUUUUUGAUUUGAAUGUAGCCCAUAUAUUAUUAUGCUAAUAAGGAUUAGAAUAUUAUUAACGGAUGUGAGCUGCAACGUCUAAUAUCCAUCAGCCACAUGACCAUGGUAUAAAUUGAUUUUGAAACACAAGUUCCUAACUCAAUACAAAAAGAGCCACAAGUCAAAAUAUUAAUAGAGAAGAAAAAAUACCCGUUUCAUUAUGGCCUGCUUGGGAGUUUCGACGUACUUGUUAUUGACCUUUUUUAAAGUACUGAUUUUAAGCAUUUAUGAACGGAUCGAUUUUGAGUGUUUUUUAGUCUCCGUUUGUUUCCCAUUAAUUUUCAUUCCAUUACAUUACAUUUUUUUCUUUUCUAUUUUCAACCACACAAUUUUUUUAAAAAUAAUAUUACACGAAAAUUCCUAGGUAAGGAACAAGACGACGUCUUAGAACUUCUACAAGCUUCUCAUCGUUAGAGGGAAAACCUUUCAUUCUUUUUUCAAUCACUCAUUUCUUAAAAAAAAAUAUUAUCCCACUCCUUUCAUUUCUACAAAAUGGGGGCCAAAGAGGAGCUUAGUAACUGAUUGUAAAAUUGUCCAACUCUUUUCUAUUUUCAACCACGCAAUUUUUUUAAAAAUAAUAUUACAUGAAAAUUCCUAGGUAAGGAACAAGACGACGUCUUAGAACUUCUACAAGCUUCUCAUCGUUAGAGGGAAAACCUUUCAUUCUUUUUUCAAUCACUCAUUUCUUAAAAAAAAAAUAUUAUCCCACUCCUUUCAUUUCUACAAAAUGGGGGCCAAAGAGGAGCUUAGUAACUGAUUGUAAAAUUGUCCAAGUCAUGCUUGUGAGUUUAUUAUUCAUUGGCUCUACAGUUUUCUAAAAGAAUAAAAUUACGAGUUCGUUUGGUGCCCAUUUUUUAUCAAAAUGCAUUUUUCUCUCUCUUCUUUUCAACCACACAUUCUUUAUUAAAAUAAUAUUACACGUAAAUCAAAAACUUUUCUUUAUUUUUCAACCACACAUUUCCCAUCAAUUUACUAUUCAAAAAUGUAUUUUUACAUAAAAAUAUCUCCCAAACACCCUCUACAUAUAUUUCUCUUAUGGUGAAAUUUAAAAUUUAUAGUUUUUGUAUAAUUUUUUUUGCUCAUAAGUGAUAUUUUACUUAUAGAUAAUUUUAUUACAUAUAAGUUAAUAUUUAAUUUAAAGAUUAAAUAAAAUUAAAUAUUUACUUAAAAUUUUAAAUUUGUAUUUUUACUUAGAAGUAAAUCUUACAAUUACAAGUUAAUUUCGUACUUUUAAGUAGUUUUUACAUAUAAUCGAUUUUUUAACUUAUAAGUAACUGUUAUAUUUUAAAAGUAAAAUUUUUGUCUUAUCAAUAAUAUUUUUACUUUAUAAGCAAAUUUUUAGAUAAAAUUAAUUUUUUAUCUUAUAACUAAUAAUUUACUUAUAAGUGAUUUUUAAUUAUAAUAUAAGUUAUAGGCUUAUAAGUAAAUUUUUUAGGGUCUGUUUGAAUGCAAUGAUAGAAUUUGGAUGGAAAGAAAACGAAUUUCAGGGAAUUGAAUCGUUUAAAACUUGAUUUACUAGGAACUGUCAAUUAAAUGUGUUUGAUUAGUAUAAUUUUUUAUCUGAAAAAUGUUGAAAUUUUGUAUCUUUUGAUAAGUGUUUGACUUUGUUUUUCAUGAAAGUUGUCAAUUAAAGAAAUAUAAAUUAUUACAAUUAUACAUAGAAUUUGUUUUCAUUGCAAAAAAAAGAAAAAUCAUUGGAAAUUUGAAGGUAUGGAACUGGAACAGGUCGUGUAAUGGAGGACGAGAAGAAUAUAUAGACACGAAAGGAACGGAAGGAGAGAGAGCGUAACGCAGAAGUGGACGAAUAAUUGUU
rnacentral:lncRNA from 1 species